rnacentral:tRNA from 1 species
GCUGUGGCUCGGCGGCAGUGCAUCUGCUUGGCACGCAGAAGGUCCCGGUUUCGAUCCCCAGCAUCUCUG